rnacentral:misc_RNA from 1 species
GUUUUGCCAAUAGUAAAGUGCAAAGUCCCAGGCUCUAGCUCUCAACUCCAGUAGCUUCCUCUCGAUAUCGGUUUCAUGCCUUGUUACAAAAGGCCUCAGCAAAGUUUCAUAGAUGUAGCCAGUUCCCUUUGUUUUUGGAUACCACAAGCAGAUAAAGAGUGCCAGCUUAAUCUCACCAUACAUUGGCAACCAUGAAACAAAUGUAUCCCCUAUCCUCUCACAUAUAGUAAGAAUUGCAAUAAUGACCCAAUAUUGACACCAAAAUCGAAGUUCUUCUUUUUCAACUCUGUUAUUCUCUAUAGAUUUGAAACAUUCAAAAGCAGGGUAGGCAUACCCAAAAAGCAACAGAAGACAUCUGGUGACAAUAUCUCCUAACAUCCUUAAUCUCUAAAGUAUGC